UUGUAGGGCAUCAAUAUCCUAGAGGCACCAGAUCCUAUCUAAUCUUAGAAGUUCAGCAGCAUCAUCUCUGGUUGGUAUUUGGAUUGGGGGACUCCCAAGAAGUACCAUGUGCUUUAGGCU
rnacentral:rRNA from 11 species